CCUACGGGAGGCAGCAGUAAGGAAUAUUGGACAAUGGUCGCAAGACUGAUCCAGCCAUGCCGCGUGCAGGAUGACAGCCCUAUGGGUCGUAAACUGCUUUUGUGCGAGAAAAAACCCCCGUCUACGUGUAGAGGGCUGAUUGUAUCGUAAGAAUAAGGAUCGGCUAACUCCGUGCCAGCAGCCGCGGUAAUACGGAGGAUCCAAGCGUUAUCCGGAUUCAUUGGGUUUAAACGGGUGCGUAGGCGGAAUGAUAAGUCAGUGGUGAAAUCCUGCAGCUUAACUGCAGAACUGCCAUUGAUACUGUCAAUCUUGAGUACAUUUGAUGUGGGCGGAAUGUGUCAUGUAGCGGUGAAAUGCUUAGAUAUGACACAGAACACCGAUUGCGAAGGCAGCUCACAAAACCUGUAACUGACGCUGAGGCACGAAAGCGUGGGUAUCAAACAGGAUUAGAUACCCUGGUAGUCCACGCUGUAAACCUAUGAUUACUCGAUGUUUGCGAUACACUGUAAGCGUCUAAGCGAAAGCGANAGUAAUCCACGNGGAGUAGCGCGCGAGAGAGAACGACGAAGGAGUUAGACGGCGNGAGGAGUGCGACGGACGACGAACGGACCGGGGAAGGUAAGG
rnacentral:rRNA from 1 species